AUUGAACGCUGGCGGCAUGCCUUACACAUGCAAGUCGAACGGCAGCACGGGUGCUUGCACCUGGUGGCGAGUGGCGAACGGGUGAGUAAUACAUCGGAACAUGUCCUGUAGUGGGGGAUAGCCCGGCGAAAGCCGGAUUAAUACCGCAUACGAUCUACGGAUGAAAGCGGGGGACCUUCGGGCCUCGCGCUAUCGGGUUGGCCGAUGGCUGAUUAGCUAGUUGGUGGGGUAAAGGCCUACCAAGGCGACGAUCAGUAGCUGGUCUGAGAGGACGACCAGCCAAACUGGGACUGAGACACGGCCCAGACUCCUACGGGAGGCAGCAGUGGGGAAUUUUGGACAAUGGGCGAAAGCCUGAUCCAGCAAUGCCGCGUGUGUGAAGAAGGCCUUCGGGUUGUAAAGCACUUUUGUCCGGAAAGAAAUCCUUGGCCCUAAUACGGGCGGGGGAUGACGGUACCGGAAGAAUAAGCACCGGCUAACUACGU
rnacentral:rRNA from 1 species